UACGGGGGGAGCAAGCGUUGUUCGGAUUUACUGGGCGUAAAGGGCGCGUAGGCGGCCAGCACAAGUCAGUUGUGAAAUCUCUGGGCUUAACUCGGAAAGGUCAACUGAUACUGUGCGGCUAGAGUGCAGAAGGGGCAACUGGAAUUCUCGGUGUAGCGGUGAAAUGCGUAGAUAUCGAGAGGAACACCGGUGGCGAAGGCGGCGACCUGGUCCGUGACUGACGCUGAGGCGCGAAAGCGUGGGGAGCAAACAGG
rnacentral:rRNA from 1 species